rnacentral:rRNA from 1 species
UACGGAGGAUGCAAGGCGUUAUCCGGAAUGAUUGGGCGUAAGCGUCCGCAGGUGGCUAUGUAAGUCUGCUGUUAAAGAAGUGAGGGCUCAACCUCAUAAAAGCAGUGGAAACUACAUGGCUAGAGUGGCGUUCGGGGGCAGAGGGAAGUUCCUGGAUGUAGCGGUGAAAUGCGUAGAUAUCGAGAGGAACACCUGCGGCGAAGGCGGGUUGCUGGG